rnacentral:lncRNA from 1 species
AGCAUAAUUAUACUGUACGUGUGUGCCUUCUUCACGUUUGGAGCUCCCAGUUGUUCUAAACUGUCACACUUGUCCAUACCUAGUCUUUAACAAUUAUAAUAUCUGUGCUGGAGAGACGGCUCAGUGGUUAAGAGUACUUGCUUCUCUUUGAGUAGACCUGAGUUUCCAGCACCCAGGGCAGCUCACAACUACUUGUAACUCCUGUUCCAGGGGAUCUGGUGCUCUCUUCUGGCAUCUGUUGGUACCCACACACAUAUACACACACACAUAUGACAUUCAUUCAUAGACAUACAAAUAAAAAUAAAUUAAAAAUAAAUAUAUAGUUUUAAAGAAUAUACCAUAAAAUAUAUACUUCUUUCUCUUCCUAGGACAAAACCCUGAAGGGAAGAACUCUUUGUCCAUCUGUGCCCAUGAUGGUUAUAGAAUGAAGUGUUCCCACGGGCUUCUGUUUUGAAUAUUUAGUCUAUAGCAUCUGGGAUAUUUUGGAGCCUUUGAGAGGUAACUCCUAAGUAGUGGAAGAAAGUCACUAAGGUGAAGCCUGUGAAAGGUGGACCUACAUCUUCAUCCACUUGAACAAUUUUCUUCAAGAUAUCUCUGUAGUUCCUUCAAGAGUGAGGCAGUUAGUCAAAAUACUUUGUACUAUCUUGCCUUACUUUCAGGAGUCAUUAAGUAGAGAAUAUUUUAAGCAUUGAUCAGGGAUUAAACCUGUCCUUGUGGAGAAAAGACUUGAACAUAAUAACACAUGGGACUAUUUUGAAGACAUAUCUGAGCCAAUCCUUGGUACUGUCACCUGAAAUAAAACUAAGGCCUAUGCUUAUGGUGCUUUAUGACAGGAGUACUGUUGAACUCUCUUUUUUGUCACUAAUAAAGAGCAGAAAAUUACUAUGAAAUACACAGCAUUGAAACAGUCACCCAACCCUCUUCUCCCGAGUGGAAUGGCAUGAAGCUGCUGUUGUCAUCGUCUAGGCUCCCCAAAUUGUCCUCCCUGUGUGUCAGGCUCUUAGUAGCAAAGGGGGAUGGGAUGAGGCUAUUUGCAGUGCUGAGAAAAAUCAAUUUUCAUCUUCAAAAGAUGAAACUACCAAGCAAGAUAUUGACUUAGAAAUAAAGCGUUUCUUAAAGACUUCCCAUAUCCUAUAAAUGUCAGACCCAAACCUUAGAGUUUGAUGAUUUAAAGUUUAUUGCUAAUUUCAGACAAACAUGCAUAUAGCCCUGCCUCAAGAAAAGAACUAGCUUAAUCUACAUUCCUCCCAGAGCAUCUUGUUAUAUAUACACAACUCCUAUCAGAGCCUUCCAAACCUGCCAUAUUUUUACUGAUAGAUACAACUUGACACCAGUCUAUUUAGUUUUCUUUCGAAAGCUUGUCUUCUUUGUCCCAUUGAUAAAUCAUUGCCAAAGCUUCAUGAUAAAUGACACAGAAAGUUUAACGUGAAUUUAAAUGGAGCUUUUGCAAUACCCAGUGACUGUAGGAAUCUAGAAUUUAAUAAUGGGCACAGUAUUAGCCAGUUGGUGAAGACUAUUGCUUCUCUUCCGGCUCCAAAGGCUCAGUGGAGGUUAAGCUGCUAUGAUAUCCAUUAUCCAAACGCAUAAAGUAGAAGUGAACCAAGCUGACAGCUCAGAAGAUAGAAAUCCAUCCCUAGGUGUUUAGGAAUGAAGACCAGCCAUCUUUGUGGUUCCUGAGCAGAACUGCCUGUGGGAGGAAUGGGGGAAGAGCAAGGGAGACCUUACUGUCUCCUGGAUCCUCACUGUCUUUAUCCUGACCACAGACGUACACUUGGAUGCUGAUUUAGAGAGAAGAAGGAAAGGCAAAAAAAGAAAGAAAACGCUGUGAACAACCACAAUUAGCUUUUUUUUUUCUUUCUUUUGUUAAGAGACUCUGCACUACCUGAAAUCUAGUCAGACUAAGCUUUUACCUGGAUGCAAAUGUAAAACAUCUUUCCACUGUUGAUUCAUGGAGUAGAGCUAGGGAGGAAACGCGUUGACUGCAGAAAAUGUAAAGGCCCUCUUUUCUGUGCACAUUAGUAUGGAAUAUGUGCAAGAUUUACAACUUCUCAACAUGUAGGAGGAAAAAAGUAUUUGCCAGAAACUAUCAGAAAUAAAGAAAUAGAAUAUGGUUUCUGCUUUUAAAAGACUUUUCACAAAUGGAAAAUAACCGGAAGUAAACACCUUUUGUCUCCUACGUACCACCCUCCCUAUUUCUUCUGAGCUUCCAGAUAUGUAGCAACAAUCUCUUAUAUGGACUACCAAAGGAAUAGCAGAAAAUCUAUAGUCAUACAAUUGCCUAGUUUAUGUCUUUCCUUGGUGCCACCCAUUUCAUAUCUGAUUUAUUAUUUCAUUCCUUAUAAUAACCCAGCAAAAGUAAUUUUAGACUCUGUUUUGUUUUCUUUUCCUUUUUUCUUUUGCUCUUUGUGUAACCUGCAGCCCAUGGAGAGCUAUCUGCAAUCCAUUUCAGACAAAGUCAGAGAGGUUGACGAGUUUCCUUGGCCCCUGACCUUGAGCCCCCAUUCUUCCUUCUUGCAUCUGGUGUAGGUAUGACUGGCCUUGUAUACUGAAAUUGAAUGUUUACAGUAUUCUGUGGAAAGCUCUGUUUCUUUACAAGCAUCCCUAACCUGCUGCCUCCCUAGGAACCCUGAUCUAGAGCAGGGAAGGUUAGUCUCCAACCCUGUGCUGUCAUAUCAAGGAUUCCAUAGACGGUUGGGUGCUUAGCCAACACAUGGCUCCCUGUGGUCACUACAUAAGAGCUCUACUAUUUUAUCACUGGGCAUUCACAAUUUCCCAAACUACUAACUUCGCUCUCUCUAUAUAUAUCAUUUCACUUAGGCUUUGUAGUUUCAACCUAAGCCCUUCUGUCUCCAGCUGUCCCUUCACAUAAGGAAAGAGUAGCAUUUCUCCAACUCAGAAGGGAAUGUGUGUGUGCUCAUGGGCUGUGUAUGUUUACGUAUGUACAUGUAUCCAUUUUUCUGUCUGAGCUGUGUCCAUGGGGAGUCAGGUCACAGAGUAGGGGCUGCUUCUCUGUACACAUAUUCUACUAGGCAUACAAAGAUUCAUUGGUGGAGUUAGCUCAGCCAUCACUUGCAUGAAGGAGUUAAUUAUUCUGAGCAUGCAUAGCAAACCACACUAUUAUCCCCAAACCGGGGAUAACCAGUCAAUCAUCCUGAGUGCUAGAUACAAAGAAAAUGGAUUGCACAUUCAGAUGGAGGGAUGGGAUAGGGCACUGUACCCUUGUUUAGAAAUACGUACAAGAGAAUGUUCCUUAAAAUACUGAUUACAGAGGAUUGUCCCAAUCUGCUAGGGUUGGGAAAACAAAGCAUCACUGAAGGGGGAGACUGGAACAUUGACAUUGAUAUCCUCACCGUCCCCGGGGCUAUUCUGAAAGGUCCAGGGAACUAACUUCUCGGAGGCCUAUCUCAUUUGAUUACACAUGGCAUCCCAUUCUCUGUAUCUGUUCUGUGUCCUCCUCCUUCCCGUGAGACACAAGUCCUUUUGGGUUGAGGAUACCCCUUUGGUCUAUCAUUUGACCUUACCUGUCUCUUUAAAAGUCCACUGACUACAGCAGCUCCAGAGGCGUUAGGCUGUCAGUAUGUGAAUCUUGGGAAGGGAUACGUCAGUCCAGAUUCAGGGCCGAGUCCUCUGAUUUUGCUACUGUACAAUAUGUUGGAGAAUAAAAAGCAGUCAGACUGUGGAAAGGUAUAAUGGAGUUUAAUAGUAGAGAAGACACUCCGAGACAGAGUGGAUCUGGAAGGAUCUGGAAGUGAAGCUGAACUGUGUGGGCAGCUAUGGAGCCAGCAUACCAAACGGGGCAACAGUGAGUUACCAGAUAUGAGGGAACAGGAAAGAAACCAGCCUAAACAGGUCAGAGUGGGUUUGAGAGAGAGAAGAGAACACCAGGAUAGGGUCUCCAACGCAGGCCAAGAGCGUGGCAGGUAUGCUUGGAAUAAAUCAAGAGGGACAGGCUGAAAGUAGAGAGAGCAGCAAGGAGACUCUGAAGUGACCUAAGAACUGGAAAUGGCCUCCUCUGGUAAAGCAUGAUCUGGGUGCUUAAAUUCUAGAUAGGGUUUUAAGGAGGGGCCCAGUGGUAAGAACCAGGAUUCCCUCGGGUCUAUCUCUGAACCACUGCAGAGGAUAUGGUUCCCAAGGCUCGGGGAUGGAUGUGUAGGAGGCACUGGUUGGAGGAUGCUGCGUUGCCUAGCUUAGCUUUGGAGUAUAGAGAAGCUAUCAGGGCGAUACUAUCAUGUGAAUGAUAUGGGAACAGAAUUUUCCACACAGGACACACAGAG